GAUGAACGCUAGCGGGAGGCUUAACACAUGCAAGUCGAGGGGCAUCACGAGGUAGCAAUACUUUGGUGGCGACCGGCGCACGGGUGAGUAACACGUAUGCAACCUUCCCUGUACAGGGGGAUAACCCGGAGAAAUUCGGACUAAUAUCCCGUAAUAAUAUCCGGAGGCAUCUUUGGAUAUUUAAAGUUCCGACGGUACGGGAUGGGCAUGCGUAACAUUAGCUGGUUGGUAAGGUAACGGCUUACCAAGGCUAUGAUGUUUAGGGGUCCUGAGAGGGUGGUCCCCCAACUGGUACUGAGACACGGACCAGACUCCUACGGGAGGCAGCAGUGAGGAAUAUUGGUCAAUGGGCGCAAGCCUGAACCAGCCAUCCCGCGUGCAGGAAGACGGCCCUAUGGGUUGUAAACUGCUUUUCCAGGGAGAGAAACUUACGCACGUGUUGCGUGACUGACGGUACCUGGGAAUAAGCAUCGGCUAACUCCGUGCCAGCAGCCGCGGUAAAGUGUGUGUA
rnacentral:rRNA from 1 species